CGGGGAACGUUAAGGGCGGCGAGCGGCGGACGGGUGAGUAAUGCCUGGGAAUAUGCCCUGAUGUGGGGGAUAACUAUUGGAAACGAUAGCUAAUACCGCAUAAUCUCUUCGGAGCAAAGAGGGGGACCUUCGGGCCUCUCGCGUCAGGAUUAGCCCAGGUGGGAUUAGCUUGUUGGUGAGGUAAUGGCUCACCAAGGCAACGAUCCCUAGCUGGUCUGAGAGGAUGAUCAGCCACACUGGAACUGAGACACGGUCCAGACUCCUACGGGAGGCAGCAGUGGGGAAUAUUGCACAAUGGGGGAAACCCUGAUGCAGCCAUGCCGCGUGUAUGAAGAAGGCCUUCGGGUUGUAAAGUACUUUCAGUAGGGAGGAAGGCAGUGUCGUUAAUAGCGGCAUUGUUUGACGUUACCUACAGAAGAAGCACCGGCUAACUCCGUGCCAGCAGCCGCGGUAAUACGGAGGGUGCGAGCGUUAAUCGGAAUUACUGGGCGUAAAGCGCAUGCAGGCGGUCUGUUAAGCAAGAUGUGAAAGCCCGGGGCUCAACCUCGGAACAGCAUUUUGAACUGGCAGACUAGAGUCUUGUAGAGGGGGGUAGAAUUUCAGGUGUAGCGGUGAAAUGCGUAGAGAUCUGAAGGA
rnacentral:rRNA from 1 species